CAGGGAUGUCUCUUAGGGACGGAAUGUGGAAAGCUCUCCAUGGUCUUGGUGGAAAGUGUAAUGCCUGAAGCCCACCAUAGUGCAAAGCAGCUGUGUUUCAGGAGAGUAGAGCCCUCCAGGAUGGGGGCACCUGUCUUUUCUCCCCCUACUUCAUUAAUGUCUAGAACAGGUGGGUCAUUGUGAUCAAUGCCCCUGCUGUGGUCCUCCCGGAAGCCUGGAUUCUGAAGGUCAGGGGAAGGAGACCCCGCGACGCUUCAUGUCCCACCCUCCCUCCAGCUGGGAACCACCGCCUGACCCCUGGGCCAAAGGCUCACACUUAUCUGAAGCGCCAACAUGCAGGUGGGGUGAGGACUUACGGCCUUCAUUGUAGAGGGACUUACAGCUCGGACGGCCAGGAUGUCCUCUACAGAAAGCCAUUUCAGGAUGUGAAAGAGCACAUCUUCGGGGAGACUCAAGAUGGUCAGGUUUCGGGGCCUCCUCCUUAUUCUUCGCUUUGUAGGAUAACAGAAACACUUGGCACACCUACAGUGGACCACUGAAGGAAAAAAAGACAGAAGCCUUGAUAAGAUGAAAAAUUAUUCUAUAUACACACCCUUGAAGGGAAAAAAAAAGGAUAAAAGUUACAUCUGAAGAUGAUCUAAUGGUUACUAUUCCCUGUGCCACAAAAGAUGGAACUAUGCUUCUUGUCCCAAACAAAGAUUAUGUAAAGGAGUGGCAUUGCACAAAUUACAGAAGAGAUCAUUCAUUUUCAAAUAUUCAACAAAUAUUUAUGGCAAAUAGCGCAUGUCAUGUAACUUGGCUAUUGGGAAACUUUCUGAUCCAGAGCCCACAUGACAGGCAGGAAGGGGAAAAAGCUGCCGAAGCUGAGGACGGUUUUCCUUCUAUUUCACUCUCAGGAAAACUCCUGGGGCCUUUGCUGGAUAGCUUUGCUUUUUGCACACGUGACCAAGGUGCAUAAUGUUC
rnacentral:lncRNA from 1 species